UUAGACCUGGGUACACACGUGCUACAAUUGACAGAACAAAGGGCUGCAAGACCGCAAGGUUUAGCCAAUCCCAUAAAUCUGUUUUCAGUUCGGAUCGCAGUCUGCAACUCGACUGCGUGAAGCUGGAAUCGCUAGUAAUCGCGGAUCAGCAUGCCGCGGUGAAUACGUUCCCGGGCCUUGUACACACCGCCCGUCACACCACGAGAGUUUGCAACACCCGAAGUCGGUGAGGUAACCUUUAUGGAGCCAGCCGCCGAAGGUGGGGCAGAUGAUUUGGGGGG
rnacentral:rRNA from 1 species